rnacentral:lncRNA from 1 species
ACUUGGGGCAGAGAGAAAGCAGCUCUGGGAGAACCGGCUUCAUGCUUUAGGAGGACCUGUCUCCGUGGACUUGACCUUGGGAAUGUGAUGCAGGUGCGGCGCCACUGAGCUAAAUCCCCCAGCUCACCUUCAUUCUUAAAAACCAAAGCAAAGCAAACCAAACCUAACUGAAGCAAACUGAAACUCAAAACUAAACAAAAGCUGAGGCAGACAACUUCAGAAUCUUCAGGAUAAUUCUGUACUUAUUCCUGGAUAGCCAG